rnacentral:rRNA from 1 species
GACGAACGUUGGCGGCGUGCUUAAUACAUGCAAGUCAACUGAAGCAGUGGUAGCAAUAUCGCUGUGGAGGUGGCGCACGGGUGAGUAACACGUAGGUAAUCUGCCUUCAGGUCUGGCAUAACUCCGUGAAACCGGGGCUAAUAGCAGAUGAUGCAGCGGCUCGACAUCGAGACAGUUGUUAAAGCUAUGUCGCCUGAAGAUGAGCCUGCGUCUGAUUAGCUAGUUGGCGGGGUAACGGCCCACCAAGGCAACGAUCAGUAGCUGGUCUGAGAGGAUGAUCAGCCACACUGGAACUGAGACACGGGCCAGACUACUACGGGAGGCAGCAGUAAGGAAUAUUGCUCAAUGGGAGAAAUCCUGAAGCAGCAACGCCGCGUGAGGGACGAAGGGCUUUUGCUUGUAAACCUCUGUAGUGAGAGAAAAAAAUCCCAAUCUUUGGGACAUGAUGGUAUCUCAAAAGUAAGCCCCGGCUAACUACGUG